GAUCCUGGCUCAGGAUGAACGCUAGCGACAGGCUUAACACAUGCAAGUCGAGGGGCAGCGAGAAGUGCUUGCACUUUUGUCGGCGACCGGCGCACGGGUGAGUAACACGUAUGCAACCUGCCCUUGUCAGGGGGAUAAGCGGGGGAAACCCCGUCUAAUACCGCAUAUAUGGUUUGGAGGCAUCUUUAAAUCAGGAAAGAAUUAUCGGACAAGGAUGGGCAUGCGGGACAUUAGGUAGUAGGCGGGGUAACGGCCCACCUAGCCUUCGAUCAUUAGGGGUUCUGAGAGGAAGGUCCCCCACACUGGAACUGAGACACGGUCCAGACUCCUACGGGAGGCAGCAGUGAGGAAUAUUGGUCAAUGGGCGAGAGCCUGAACCAGCCAAGUAGCGUGAAAGAAGACUGCCCUAUGGGUUGUAAACUUCUUUUGUUCGGGAAUAAAGUGCAGUAUGUAUACUGUUUUGUAUGUACCGUUCGAAUAAGCAUCGGCUAAUUCCGUG
rnacentral:rRNA from 1 species